ensembl:lncRNA
CUUAAGACUGAACAUCUUCUACUCCCAGGCCUUAAGACUGAACAUCUUCUACCCCAAGCCUUAAGACUGAACAUCUUCUACUCCCAAGCCUUAAGACUGAACAUCUUCUACUCCCAAGCCUUAAGCCUGAACAUCUUCUACUCCCAAGCCUUAAGCCUGCUAAACAACUCAUCAAAUGGCUACCUGGACUACCUACAUUGACCCUUUUUGCACUCACUGUACCCCUAACCUCAAUUACCUGGUACCCCUGCACCUCCACUCAGUACUGGUUCUCUCUGUAUAUAACCAUGUUAUUACCUUGUACUCCCUGUAUAUAACCAUGUUAUUACCUGGUACUCCCUGUAUAUAGUCAUGUUAUUACCUGGUACUCCCUGUAUAUAGUCAUGUUAUUACCUGGUACUCCCUGUAUAUAACCAUGUAAUUACCUGGUACUCCAUGCAUAUAACCAUGUUAAUACCUGGUACUCCUUGUCUAUAACCAUGUUAUUACCUGGUACUCCUUGUAUAUAACUAUGUUAUUACCUGGUACUCCCUGUAUAGAGCCAUGUUAUUACCUGGUACUCCCUGUAUAUAACCAUGUUAUUACCUGGUACCCCUGCACCUCCACUCAGUACUGGUACUCCCUGUAUAUAACCAUGUCAUUACCUGGUACUCCCUGUAUAUAACCAUGUCAUUUUUACUCGUAAGUCACUUCAACUCUGCAUUUUUGGAAAAGGUGGUACAUCUAGCAUGGGGUAGUUUGGUUCAUGGUGAAAAGAUGGUACAUCUAGCAUGGGGUAGUUUGGUUCAUGGUGCAAAGGUGGUACAUCUAGCAUGGGGUAGUUUGGUUCGAGGUGAAAAUAUGGUACAUCUAGCAUGGGGUAGUUUGGUUCGAGGUGAAAAGGUGGUACAUCUAGCAUGGGGUAGUUUGGUUCAUGGUGAAAUAGGUGGUACAUCUAGCAUGGGGUAGUUUGGUUCAUGGUGAAAUAGGUGGUACAUCUAGCAUGGGGUAGUUUGGUUCAUGGUGAAUUCUCAUGUUUAUUGCAUGCAGUCUCUAAAUGUGUCUAUAACGUAUUACUAGGCUAAAGUGUAUGUUGUUAGCCAAGCCAGUCAUCUGUUGCAACAUCAAAGUGCAGUUCAUUGGUGGAAUAAGACCAUAUUGAGUUAUGAGUUUACUGGCAGAAAGUAUAGAAAACAGUCAGAGAACCUCCUUAAGAAAUGGUCCUAUUCAUCUGUUUUUAAUCUGUGUCAUUAGGUUGGCUGAGUUUGCUGUUUUUAAUCUGCAUUUACGGGAAGGGUUCUUGUCGGUGUCUGUUUCCUCUCUCUCUUCAGUGUAAACUUUCAGCUCUAACAGAUUACAUGUGAGGCAGAGAGAAAACACUUGAGAUGCAUAAUGAGUGUGUAUUUUAAUUAAGAUCAGGCCUUCUGUAGGCCUACAGUUUUUUGAACCUUUAUUUAACUAGGCAGGUCAGACAAUAACUCAUUCUUAUCUACAAUGACAGCCUCCCAGGGAACAGUGGGUUAACUGCCUUGUUCAGGGGCAGAACGACAGAUUUGGACCUUGUCAGCUCUUGGAUUCGAUCUUGCAACCUUUCGCUUACUAGUCCAACACUCUAACCACUAGGUUACCUGCCGUACCACAGUGAUCAGAUUAGUAACACAACAUAUUUCUAUUUGAUAAUUGCAAAGAUUAUUGUAUAACUGUAUGAGAUACAUAGACUGACAAAUGGAACUAUUUCUUAAUUUCCAUAUUUGACUAUUUGGUUUUACAUUUGAGCAAAAAAAAGAUGUUUAAAACGUAAUGUACAUGAAAAUCUGGACACCUAAUUCUAAAAGAGAAAGUGUGAGACGUGAAAACAAUCUCCCUCUCUGUUUUUCCUGUUGGAGUUGUGGGAAUGUUGGAGGCAUGUCCUCCCCUCGCCUCUCUGCGCCAACUUGGAUGAUUUAUAUAUUUCCUCCCUUUCUGCGUUCAGAAUAAUACUGUGUGUUCUCUGCUCUGAGAGACACUGUAACCAGACAGACUGACACAAUGGGCUGUGAGAGACGGCUGUUCCUGACUGCUGCUCUGCUGGCUGUCUUUUUAUGCAGUAAGUUUAUUCUUCUACAAUAGCGGAGGCUCCUCAGAGGAGGAAGGGGAGGACCAUCCUCCUCAGUGAAAUUUCAUAAAAAUAAAAAUAGUGAAACAUUAAAUAAAGGGACCCUUUUUAGAUAAAAAUAUACUAAAUAUAUUCACGUCACCAAAUAAUUGAUUAAAAUACACUGUUUUGCAAUGACAGUCUACAGUAACUUCAACAGCACUGUCUGGGUAGCACCAUGGUGUAGCCGGAGGACAGUUAGCUUCCAUCCUCCUCUGGCUACAUUGACUUCAAUACAAAACCUAGGAGGCUCGCAGGCCUCAGCCACUUCCAUAGACAUACAUUUUAUUUAACCUUUAUUUAACCAGGAAGGGCUCGUUGAGAUUAAAAUCUAUUUUUCAAGAGCGCCCUGGCCAAGAUAGGCAGCACCAAGUCAUUACAAAAAAAUUACAGACAGACAUGAAAAGCUACAAGUAAUCUAGUAAAAACCAUUGAAUUCACAAGAGUAUAAAACAGCAAAUUAAAAACAUUGACAGGUCAGGGAAUCAGCCUCAAAAUCCUUCAUCAGUGAUUUAAAAACAUUUAGAACAGUUAGCAGGAUAUAGUGGUACGUAAGUGUUUUGCAGUUUGAAAUAAAUCUCAAAGUGCCAUGGUAAAGAGUGUCAAUUGAUCUCAAACACUGCGCGGAAGCAUUCAUAUAUAAAACAUCCCCAUAGUCUAGUAAAGACAUAAAUGUAGCUGAUACUAGCCUCCUUCUGGCUUCAAAAGAAAAACAGGCCUUAUUCCUAAAAUAAAAUCCCAAUUUCAGCUUCAAUUUUUUUUGUAAGUAGUUGAAUACGCAAUUUAAAAGAGAGGCCGUCAUCAAUUAAAAUUCCAAGAUAUUUAUAUGAGAUUACAACCUCAAUUUCCUUGCCCUGAAAGGUAGUAAUAGGUUCUGAGGUCUAUUUCUUGCAUUAGAAAACACCAUUUGUUUAGUUUUGUCAGUAUUGAGGAUAAGCUUCAAUUGACACAAGGUAUGUUGAACAGUAUAAAAAGCAGUUUGCAUGUUCUGGAAAGCUUUUGUAAGAGACGAGGCACAACAGUAAAUAACAGUAUCAUCAGCAUAAAAUGAAGUUGUGCAUUUUGGACAUUUUUGUCUAAAUCAUUUAUAUAAAUAGUGAAUAAGAAAGGACCAAGUACAGAGCCUUGGGGCACACCAUUCAAGACAGACAAUUCAACAGACAUAAGCCCAUCAAAUUGAGUGUAUUGAGUUCUAUCAGACAGAUAGUUAGCAAACCAUGCAACUGCAUGCUCCGAAAGACCUACACUCGACAAUCUCUGCCUUAGUAUAGCAUGAUCAACUGUAUCAAAAGCCUUAGAGAGAUCAAUAAAAAGUGAGACACA